rnacentral:rRNA from 1 species
AGCAGCCGCGGUAAUUCCAGCUCCAAUAGCGUAUAUUAAAGUUGUUGCAGUUAAAAAGCUCGUAGUUGAAUUUCGGGGUUAGUAGGUUGGUCAUGCCUCUGGUAUGUACUGGUCUCACUGAUUCCUCCUUCCUUAUGAACCGUAAUGCCAUUAAUUUGGUGUUGCGGGGAAUUUGGACUGUUACUUUGAAAAAAAUUAGAGUGUUUAAAGCAAGCUAACGCUUGAAUACAUUAGCAUGGAAUAAUGGAAUAGGACGUUCGAUCUUAUUUUGUUGGUUUCUAGGAUUGACGUAAUGAUUAAUAGGGAUAGUUGGGGGCAUUAGUAUUCAAUUGUCAGAGGUGAAAUUCUUGGAUUUAUUGAAGACUAACUACUGCGAAAGCAUUUGUCCAAGGAUGUUUUCUAUUAAUCAAGAACGAAAGUUAGGGGAGUCGAAGACGAUCAGAUACCGUCGUAGUCUUAACCAUAAACUAUGCCGACUAGGGAUCGGAUGAUGUUAAUUUUUUAAAUUGACUCAUUCGGC